GGAUCGAUGUUGACGCAUGUAGGGGCGGCGUUAUGGUGGGAGAGGCACCGCUUUCUGAAAGUGUUCGAUGGCGUGUGAAAACUCGUGCCAACUGGCGACGUAGAGGGAGGGGUGAAAACCGUGGUAAAUGUGGGAACGGUUGUUGAGGAGGAGAGAAAGUAGUAUGGUGAAGUUUCCGGCGGUGGCAAGUAAACGUACGGUAGAGUUUGUAGUGGAGCUGGGAGGGGUGUGCAUAAGGGGCGAAGGGAUAAGAAAGAUGUCGGAUGCGAUCAUACCAGCUCUAAAGCACC
rnacentral:rRNA from 1 species